UACGGGGGGGGCAAGCGUUGUUCGGAAUUACUGGGCGUAAAGGGCUCGUAGGCGGCCAACUAAGUCGGAUGUGAAAUCCCCAGGCUUAACCUGGGAACUGCAUCCGAUACUGGAUGGCUUGAAUCCGGGAGAGGGAUGCAGAAUUCCAGGUGUAGCGGUGAAAUGCGUAGAUAUCUGGAGGAAUACCGGUGGCGAAGGCGGCAUCCUGGGCCGGCAUUGACGCUGAGGAGCGAAAGCUAGGGGAGCAAACGGG
rnacentral:rRNA from 1 species